GUUUGAUAAAGCGGCACUGCCUCGGUGACAUGAAAGCCCAACUGAGUUCAACAACAGCCGUCAUCUCUGCUCUGCUUUUCUGUAGAUAAAUGCCACUGACAGGAACAGAAUUCACUGUGGUAACUGAUCAGGUGCCAAGUGCCCUCUCCCCAGUGCCCUGCUGCACAGAAGCCCUCCACGGAGCUGGCAUUGGCCUGGCCUGGCCUGGUCUUGCAGCCACGGGCCCAAGCUUUGUAGCUCUACCCUCGACUAUUCAAGCUAUCUCCAAAUCACACCCGCCUGCUGUCAGCAGCCACAGGAGUUUAAAACCCGGCAGUAAAGACCUGGCUAGGAGGCAAAGUUAAGAAAGCAAAGUUGACUUGAUCGGAAAUCUAAUCUUGCAUAUUUAUGUGGUGUUUAUUACACCAGCGUUGCAACUAGCUCAAAUAUAAUUAGUGAUAGAAGAGGUGUUAUUAUGUAGGUCUUUGUCAGAGGACGUGAAUGUGUUUUAAAAAUACCACAGCAAUGAAUCAGUGGCCUCACUAUCUUUACAGGCAGGCAGAGCUGGUAGGUUUUGUCAACCAGGCCAACAAUAAGAGAAGCAUACAGGCACCAGAAUGAAAGAGGCAGUGGUGUUUGCACUUAUUGUUUGGCUUCAGCUGAAAGUGAGAUUGCUGUGAUUUAAUAUAAAACAACCAGCCGUUAUGCAUUUUACCACCAUCUCCAUGUAAAGCCACCUGGCCCUCCAAAAGAAAAAAGAAAAAAAAAAACAUUGGAAUGAUUAAUAUCCCAUGUCUGGAAUACUCAGAAAAUAUACAUAUUAUAACCUUCACGGUUUCACAGCCUCAUAAACCUAAUAGGAUAUUUAUUUUAUUUUAUUUUAAAAAGUGAUUUAAGGCUAGGCUGCAAACAUAUAUACCCAGCUGCCUCGGAUGAAGCCUAUAUUAUAUUGCUACAUCACAAAGGUCUGUGACUAAGCAUUGAGGUCCAUGUUUACAGCAUCCCAGACCGUCGAGGAAAUAUGUGGCCUCGGUGCGUUUGUCUUCGUCCAA
ensembl:lncRNA